CGCUGGGAAGGCUGUGAUAAGGCGAGUGCUUGCUGGGGGUGCCUGUUGUCACAGGGUCCGGAGGUGCUGACGGAGAUCAAGUCCGUGGAGUCUGAGGAGGCCCAUCAUUCAAAUGGAUGAGGAAGCAAGUGGACCACCAGUACAGACACUGCUGAUGACCUGCAGCUUCCGUACCUAAUCUUCCCCCAGUGAGAACAGUGAUCACUCAAUAAAAUGUCAUGUCAAACUGCAAGACUGCUUGGAACAGUCAUGAACGCUCACUUGCCACCUGUAUUAAGAGACUUCAUAAAGGGCAGAACCAUAAGAAUUUGGUCCCACUGCAAGUGUUAAGUAAAAUGCUUCAUCCAUUCUGGGAUCUACAUACUGCAAACUGGAAUCGUAAUCCUCCAUCUCUGCUUUCCUCUCACUUGAUCUUGUUUGGAAAUGUGAAUAAAUACCUUAUUUUGGAAACUUGGUUCAUAAUUUG
rnacentral:lncRNA from 1 species